UACAGAGGGUGCGAGCGUUGUUCGGAAUUAUUGGGCGUAAAGCGCUUGUAGGCGGCACGUCAAGUCGCGUGUGAAAUCCCCCAGGCUUAACCUGGGGAAGUGCGCGCGAAACUGACGAGCUUGAGUGCCGGAGAAGGUCGCGGAAUUCCCGGUGUAGAGGUGAAAUUCGUAGAUAUCGGGGAGGAACACCAGUGGCGAAGGCGGCGACCUGGACGGACACUGACGCUGAGACGGCGAAAAGCGUGGGG
rnacentral:rRNA from 1 species